UGCCAGCCGCCGCGGUAAUACGAAGGGGGCUAGCGUUGUUCGGAAUCACUGGGCGUAAGGCGUAUGUAGGCGGUUAAUCAAGUUGGUGGUGAAAGCCCGGAGCUCAACUCCGGAACUGCCAUCAAAACUGAUUGACUUGAGAUUGGUAGAGGAAAAUGGAAUUCCUAGUGUAGAGGUGAAAUUCGUAGAUAUUGGGAAGAACAUCGGUGGCGAAGGCGAUUUUCUGGGCCAAAUCUGACGCUGAGGUUCGAAAGCGUGGGUAGCAAACAGGAUUAGAUA
rnacentral:rRNA from 1 species